GGCAGUUUAACAAAGAGUCUCUUUAGGGGUUUUUUGUUCUGCCUCUGGUUGGUAUUGCUUUGGAGAGGAAACUGAGCUCUGAAAAAGACCUCACGUAGCAAGGGGAUGGCAGGGCAUGCAGCAAGUCCUGCUGCAGGAAUUCUUGGAGGAGGAAGGUGGAGAGUCUCAAAGGAGGCAUAAGUAACAAUCACUACCAAAACCCCAGGAAGGAGCCCCAGUAUUUCCCAGGAAUGAGGGGCAGGGGAAUCUCCGUGCAUGGACAGCCAAGUGUUCCAACACAGCUCUGGCUCGGGCUGCUGAGCCCCCUUGGAGCCUGGGCUGGAACAUCUGCUCCAUCUCCUGCAGGAAGGAAAUAACCUCUCCUGGAUGGAUCCUGUUCAAAAUGUGUCUGCUGAACAAUCCUUCUCAGCAACAAAUACGCCUCUGAGCAGAAAGAGGAUCUCGUGGGAAGCUUUGGGAAGAAUCUGGAACCUCUUUAAUUUUGAGAAAAGAAGAGAUAGUAAACAGGUUAGAGGUGUCUCUGGGUAUUUGGUGAUGCACUGACCACUGCCUGGCCUGAUGCUGAAUACAGAUAAUAUUCUGAAAUUUCUGGGUGUGAUGUGAGAUGGAACUUCAGCCAGCCUGAGUCUCUUGUGUGAAACUUGCUACUGUGCCUUGUUCUGCUCUGGACAGGGCAGAACUCCAGCAUACUGAGGUGCCAAUAACUCAAAAC